rnacentral:lncRNA from 1 species
CAUGCAGGUGAGAACAGGCCUCAUUGGGCCUGGUAUAACAGGGUUCUAAUCUCAGCUACCUUCAGGCUGACACUGGAAGCUAGAGAAUUCAAGACCUGCCUGGAAUACAGAGACCCUAGCACAAACCCGAAACCAAUAAAUAACAAAAUCUUCGCUUGAGGAGAUAAGAGGUGUCAAGGUCUGGACUCUGCAGGUGUGGAGCAGUGCUGCCAUCUGUCCAGAAGAGGGCGCGAUCUGCAUUCUUCAGAACUGGAAGAACAAGAGCAGCAAGCCUGAGAAAUAAGGCUAUUCCUCCACCUGGAGUGGUGCAGUCUUUCAGUUCAAUAAUUAAAG